rnacentral:rRNA from 1 species
CGAGGUCUGACCGAGCAACGCCGCGUGAGUGAAGAAGGUUUUCGGAUCGUAAAACUCUGUUGUUAGAGAAGAACGUUGUGUAGAGUGGAAAAUUACACAAGUGACGGUAUCUAACCAGAAAGGGACGGCUAACUACGUGCCAGCAGCCGCGGUAAUACGUAGGUCCCGAGCGUUGUCCGGAUUUAUUGGGCGUAAAGCGAGCGCAGGUGGUUUAAUAAGUCUGAUGUAAAAGGCAGUGGCUCAACCAUUGUGUGCAUUGGAAACUGUUAGACUUGAGUGCAGUAGAGGAGAGUGGAAUUCCAUGUGUAGCGGUGAAAUGCGUAGAUAUAUGGAGGAACACCGGUGGCGAAAGCGGCUCUCUGGACUGUAACUGACACUGAGGCUCGAAAGCGUGGGUAGCAAACAGGAUUAGAUACCCUGGUAGUCCACGCCGUAAACGAUGAGUGCUAGUUGUUUGGGGCUAUCCAGCCCUAAGUGACGCAGCAAACGCAUUAAGCACUCCGCCUGGGGAGUACGACCGCAAGGUUGAAACUCAAAGGAAUUGACGGGGGCCCCC